rnacentral:rRNA from 1 species
AUUGAACGCUGGCGGCAUGCUUUACACAUGCAAGUCGAACGGUAACAGGCCUUCGGGUGCUGACGAGUGGCGAACGGGUGAGUAAUGCAUCGGAACGUACCCAGAGGUGGGGGAUAACGCAGCGAAAGCUGUGCUAAUACCGCAUGUGAUCUGAGGAUGAAAGCGGGGGACCGAGCAGCAAUGUUUGGCCUCGCGCCUUUGGAGCGGCCGAUGUCGGAUUAGCUAGUUGGUGGGGUAAAGGCCUACCAAGGCGACGAUCCGUAGCUGGUCUGAGAGGACGACCAGCCACACUGGGACUGAGACGCGGCCCAGACUCCUACGGGAGGAAGCAGUGGGGAAUUUUGGACGAUGGGCGCAAGCCUGAUCCAGCAAUGCCGCGUGCGGGAAGAGGGCCUUCGGGUUGUAAACCGCUUUUGGCAGGAACGAAACGGUGUCCGCUAAUACCGGGCGCUAAUGACGGUACCUGCAGAAUAAGCACCGGCUAACUACGUG